rnacentral:rRNA from 1 species
AACCGGAUUAGAUACCCUGGUAGUCCACGCCGUAAACGAUGUCGACUUGGAGGUUGUGCCCUUGAGGCGUGGCUUCCGGAGCUAACGCGUUAAGUCGACCGCCUGGGGAGUACGGCCGCAAGGUUAAAACUCAAAUGAAUUGACGGGGGCCCGCACAAGCGGUGGAGCAUGUGGUUUAAUUCGAUGCAACGCGAAGAACCUUACCUGGUCUUGACAUCCACGGAAGUUUUCAGAGAUGAGAAUGUGCCUUCGGGAACCGUGAGACAGGUGCUGCAUGGCUGUCGUCAGCUCGUGUUGUGAAAUGUUGGGUUAAGUCCCGCAACGAGCGCAACCCUUAUCCUUUGUUGCCAGCGGUCCGGCCGGGAACUCAAAGGAGACUGCCAGUGAUAAACUGGAGGAAGGUGGGGAUGACGUCAAGUCAUCAUGGCCCUUACGACCAGGGCUACACACGUGCUACAAUGGCGCAUACAAAGAGAAGCGACCUCGCGAGAGCAAGCGGACCUCAUAAAGUGCGUCGUAGACCGGAUUGGAGUCUGCAACUCGACUCCAUGAAGUCGGAAUCGC